UACGUAGGGUGCAAGCGUUGUCCGGAAUUAUUGGGCGUAAAGAGCUCGUAGGCGGUCUGUCGCGUCGAAUGUGAAAACCCGGGGCUCAACCCCGGGCCUGCAUUCGAUACGGGCAAACUAGAGUAUUGCAGGGGAGACUGGAAUUCCUGGUGUAGCGGUGGAAAAUGCGCAGAUAUCAGGAGGAACACCGGUGGCGAAGGCGGGUCUCUGGGCCGAUACUGACGCUGAGGAGCGAAAGCGUGGGGAGCGAACAGG
rnacentral:rRNA from 1 species